AAUAGAUACCCCGGUAGUCCAUGCCGUAAACGUUGGGCGCUAGAUGUGGGGACCAUUCCACGGUUUCCGUGUCGCAGCUAACGCAUUAAGCGCCCCGCCUGGGGAGUACGGCCGCAAGGCUAAAACUCAAAGGAAUUGACGGGGGCCCGCACAAGCGGCGGAGCAUGCGGAUUAAUUCGAUGCAACGCGAAGAACCUUACCAAGGCUUGACAUAUACGAGAACGCUCUAGAAAUAGAGAACUCUUUGGACACUCGUAUACAGGUGGUACAUGGUUGUCGUCAGCUCGUGUCGUGAGAUGUUGGGUUAAGUCCCGCAACGAGCGCAACCCUCGUUCUAUGUUGCCAGCGGUUCGGCCGGGAACUCAUAGGAGACUGCCGGGGUCAACUCGGAGGAAGGUGGGGAUGACGUCAAAUCAUCAUGCCCCUUAUGUCUUGGGCUUCACGCAUGCUACAAUGGCCGGUACAAAGGGCUGCAAUACCGUAAGGUGGAGCGAAUCCCAAAAAAGCCGGUCUCAGUUCGAUUGAGGUCUGCAACUCGA
rnacentral:rRNA from 1 species